rnacentral:lncRNA from 1 species
AUGAAGUUAUCUCCAAACUCCCAGAUGAGUAUGAUCUCAAAUUCUUCCAAACUCCAGCAAUUCUCCUACCCAGCACCACAAAACAAACCUCAGUACUACCCAAUAAUGGGACACUAUUAUGGGUGCCAUCCUGGAUAUGCAACCAUGGAGAGAAGACAACUCCAAACCCAUGGUGGAGCCAGCUGCCACCAUACCAUCAGUAUGAGCCUUCUCUUCGGUAACUCUGGAAGAAACAUCUUAGCCACUGAGAACCACACAAAUGGUGAGACCCAUGUUGUGGGGUGA